rnacentral:rRNA from 1 species
CUCCUACGGGAGGCAGCAGUGAGGAAUUUUGCGCAAUGGGGGAAACCCUGACGCAGCAACGCCGCGUGGGUGAAGAAGGCUUUCGGGUCGUAAAGCCCUGUCAGGUGGGAAGAAACUCUUCAGUACUAAUAAUGCUGAAGCCUGACGGUACCACCAGAGGAAGCACCGGCCAACUCCGUGCCAGCAGCCGCGGUAAUACGGAGGGUGCAAGCGUUGUUCGGAAUUAUUGGGCGUAAAGAGCGUGUAGGCGGCUUGGUAAGUCAGAUGUGAAAGCCCUGGGCUCAACCCAGGAAGUGCAUUUGAAACUACCAGACUUGAGUACGGGAGAGGAGGGGGGAAUUCCCGGUGUAGAGGUGAAAUUCGUAGAUAUCGGGAGGAAUACCGGUGGCGAAGGCGCCCCUCUGGACCGAUACUGACGCUGAGACGCGAAAGCGUGGGGAGCAAACAGGAUUAGAUACCCUGGUAGUCCACGCCGUAAACGAUGAGCACUAGGUGUAGCGGGUAUUGACCCCUGCUGUGCCGUAGCUAACGCAUUAAGUGCUCCGCCUGGGGACUACGGUCGCAAGACUAAAACUCAAAGGAAUUGACGG